CGCCUGACCUGGCCCGGCCUGUUGGGUCCGGUGCCUGUGCCGUGCCCAACGGUUCGGGUGCCGGAUCUGGGGCGGGUGCCCA
rnacentral:tRNA from 1 species